ACGCUCGGAGCGCUCGCCCGCGCUCCCGUCCGCGAUUCAACAUCCAAUUCACUCCGCGAGACCUAUUUUAUUUACUUUCGGUCACAUUGCGUUCCUAGUGCUCCAGUUUAAUGUGCUGAUGUAGAAAGUGCGGAGACUAUCGUAUUUAGUGUGAAAACAACUAGUGAAGAAGAAACUACAAAAUGACUAGUUCUGGCGUUAUAUGGUUCACGAUAUGCAUCGUCGUUGUGACCGCUGAAGCAUCGAUAUACGACGACGACUACGAUUCGUAUACUAAGGUGUACGACUACAAAAAUUCAGAAAGUCGGACCUGCACAUCAUCAGAGUUCCGCUGCAAGACAGGACGAUGUGUGCCGAUGUCAUGGCGUUGCGACAACGAGAAGGACUGUCCAGAUGGGUCAGACGAAGAACCUGGAACUUGCAAAGUGGAGGCUUGCGGACCUGAGGAGUUCACGUGCCGAGGGAAACAUGGCGAGUGUGUGCCUCUGACGUGGAUGUGCGACGACAAUCCUGACUGCUCGGACGGAUCCGACGAAAAAGCAUGCAAUGAGACGUGCCGCUCGGACGAGUUCACAUGCGGGAAUGGCAAGUGCAUCCAGCAGCGGUGGGUUUGCGACGGCGACGACGACUGUGGCGAUGACAGCGACGAAGCCAAAUGUCCGGCGCCGACUUGCCAGCCGACAACACACUUCUCAUGCGAAGACGGGCAUUGCAUUUCGGCGUGGUGGCGGUGCGACGGCGAUAUAGACUGUCCCGAUGCCAGCGACGAAAAGGGUUGUGCGACCACGCCGAAAGUGACAUCACCAUGCAUAUCAUCUGAAUUCGAGUGCAAGGACCGCAUGACGUGCGUCCACAAGGCCUGGGUGUGCGAUGGAGACCGGGACUGCCCGGACGGAGGUGACGAGGCUCCCGAGAUAUGCAGAGGGAACAUAACGUGCAGACCAGACCAGUUCCAGUGUAAGGACCACAGCUGUAUACCUGGUGCGCUGUACUGCAACGGCGAUAAGGACUGCCCGGAUGGCAGCGAUGAGUUUAACUGCACGCGCCCGAAACCAGUUUGCGACAAGAAAACGGAGUUUGACUGCGGCGAAGGCAUGUGCAUCCCACUGUCCAAAGUUUGCGACAAGAAACCAGACUGUCCCAACUUCGAGGAUGAGCCGCGGGACAAAUGCGGCGAGAAUGAAUGUGAGAAGAACAACGGAGGAUGCACACAGAGAUGCGUGGACACCCCAGUCGGGUACUACUGUGACUGUGAUAAGGGUUACAAGCUGACGGAUAAUAGGACUUGUGAAGACAUCGACGAAUGCGCAGACCCCGGAGCGUGCUCCCAAAUGUGUAUCAACGAAAAGGGCACAUUUAAAUGCGAGUGCCACGCAGGGUACGCCCGUGACCCCCGUGACAGAACCCGCUGCAAGGCCACCGAAGGCCACCCAUCACUGCUCUUCGCCAGACGCUUCGAUAUCCGCAAGAUCAGCUUGGACCACCACGAAAUGGUUGCUAUAGUCAACGACACAAAAUCGGCGACCGCGCUUGAUUACGUGUUCAGAACGGGGAUGAUCUUCUGGAGCGAUGUCACGGAUGAAAAGAUUUACAAGGCGCCAAUUGACGAAGGCACGCAACGAACGGUGGUCAUCGGAGACCAGCUCAUCACCUCCGAUGGGUUGGCAGUGGACUGGAUAUACAACCACCUGUACUGGACUGACACCGGGAAGAACCACAUCGAACUGUCGGACCUGCAAGGGAACAUGAGAAAGAUCCUGAUCAGGGACAAACUGGAGGAGCCGAGGGCGAUCGCGUUGAAUCCGCUUGAUGGAUGGAUGUACUGGACCGACUGGGGCCAGGUGCCGAAGAUCGAGCGUGCCGGUAUGGACGGCUCUCACAGGCAAACCAUCGUGUCGUACGACGUGAAGUGGCCCAACGGACUCACGUUGGAUCUCGUGCGAAAACGCGUAUACUGGGUGGAUGCCAAAAUGAACACAAUAUCAUCGUGCAACUACGACGGGGCAGCGAGGCGGGUUAUUCUGUAUUCGACAGAUGUGCUUCGCCACCCCUUCUCUAUUACCACAUUUGAAGAUUGGGUGUACUGGACUGACUGGGACAAGACCGCCGUGUACCGAGCCAACAAGUUCAACGGGAAAGAUGUGGAGGCAAUCACUUCUACUCACACGCUCCAAAACCCGAUGGUCAUCCACGUGUACCACCCGUACCGUCAACCGGACGGUGUUAACCACUGCGCAGCCGUCAACGGGCACUGCUCGCAUCUCUGCCUUCCCGCCCCCAGGAUAGGCCCGCACUCGCCUAAAGUCUCCUGCGCAUGCCCCAACGGCCUCAGGCUGUUACCCGACAACCAGAUGUGCGCCGAAGACAAUGCAAUAGAACAAGAUGUGGAGGUGCAAAAGCAGAAAAUUCGUACAAACGAAAGUAUUGUAGAUCAAGAAAAUUCUGUAACCACCAGGCAUGACAAACUCCUUAUUUACAAUCCGGUGAAUAACAUAGUCGCGUGCGAAUGAUUAAGCGAAGGUGUAAAGACAUAUGGUGGAUACAAGAAGAGAAAGGCUUUUACGCCUUCUCUUUAAAUUCGGCCAAGCCGUAUUUAAGAGUGAAGACAAGACUGACAACCCCGAGAAGAUUGGAGAACGAGACUCGACUGCCAAAAGAGAAUCGGAACCAAUGAUGCUGUAUUGGGAGAAGGAUAAAGAAGAAUCAUCAAACCACAAUCAAGCGUACAUAGAUCUGUAUCAAAAGGGCAUUGCUCUGGAAAGGAUACCAGACUCAGUCGACGGGUCCUUUACAGAAUCUCAUUAUAAAUACGACAAAACACUAUCCUACUUGCCAGAAAUCGUCAAUACUUUAAAUGAGGGUGUUCCCGAAUCGCCCAAGAUUGGUACCGGAAUCUCAAGCAGUGGCCGCGAUGCAGGCUAUGUAGCGGGCAUUGUGGUGGCAGUUAUUUCUGGAGUCAUCAUAUUGGCAGCACUGAUCGCAGUGCUUAUGUACCGGCAUUACGUGCAUCGCAACGUCACUUCUAUGAACUUCGACAACCCGGUGUACCGCAAGACUACGGAGGACCAGUUCGCCUUAGAGAAGAAUGGCUACGCACCGGGCAGCAAACUGUACCCAAGCACGGUGGGAGAAGAGGCCCAAGAACCACUCAACACACCCAGUACAAAUGACUUUGUAUAGUGUACAAGCCGGCAGCAAAUACAUUAGUGCGUCAUUAAAUGUGAAAAGAAAAAGAAGGACAUGUGAUACUUAAAUAGUGUGAACCAGUGAAUGGGACAUGAGCUAACAUUUUGUAGUAAACUCUAAAAUAGUUAGCAUUAGUGCAAUGGGACGAGUGAUGCUUAUUGGAACCAAGUUCUGUUGGGCUCGCGUUGGAUGGAUCUCAACCGCAAUCAUUGUCAAACAGUAAUACAGUCGACUGCACUAUACAUUUUCAUUGCAAAAUAACACCUAUUGCAUAAGAAUGAAGUGCGGUCGAAUGUACCUUGAGAUCGUUGAAAGCUUUUGUACUAUGCGUAUCACAUUUAGACAUUAGGUGGGAAGAGUUUUCUAUGAUUUUCUCUUUAGACUGUGAAUAUAAUAGAAAUUCGAAUAUUUUACAAUAUGCCUGGUGCAUUGUAAUUAUUUAUAAUAGAGUUUACAAUUUUUAUAUUCCAAUUUAGUUAAGGGUAUGAUCGCUUAAUAACCUUUACAGUUAUUACAACCACUUAAUUCAGGCACAAAUACGCAUAUCUACGCAGCUUAUAUUUUAUACAGUGAGAUGUACUUAUUUAGCGAGUUUGCAGUUUAGUUCUCAACUUAAAACUUUGUACUGAAUAUACAUAUUUUGAUAAACUAAAAGACGUACUGGUCACUUCAUUUAUUUCGGAUGUUUUCCUAUAGGUAUAAAUUUAUUUAUUUAUUAAUGAAAUGGAUAAAUGACACACUAAAGAAUAGGCUAGUAAAAUCAAUGCUAUAUGUGCCAAAACUAGUGAAAUAUAAAUGUCGCCAAAUCCAUAGUAAUUGGUACUGACCGAUAGCAAAUCUGUAGCGAUAAAAUUUAAGUCACAUACUAUUUGUUGCCCUGUAUUUAUUUGAAUUAUAUAAAAUUGUUGUUCAUUACUAAGGUUUAAUAUUUAUAUUAUAUUUUAUGUACUGGUUGUGUUUACCAUACAAUAUUGUAAUUAAUAUUUUUAUCAUAGUAAUGAUUAAAUUACCGUGUAUUUGGAAUGUGACUUUGUCGUGCAAAAUCCUGCCAAAUCUCCUAAAAUAAUAUUAACUUGUUUGUAAUGUAAUACGAUUACAUUAAAAUAAAUCUUGAUGCACAUUUCAUACAUGCCUAGCUCAAUAAGUGUGGUCACUAAAAUUAUUGUGUAAAUAUUGUCAGUAAAAUAUAUGUAAAAUGUGUUAAA